rnacentral:rRNA from 1 species
AUUGAACGCUGGCGGCAGGCCUAACACAUGCAAGUCGAACGAGUGGCGGACGGGUGAGUAAUGUCUGGGAAACUGCCUGAUGGAGGGGGAUAACUACUGGAAACGGUAGCUAAUACCGCAUACCAUCAGAUGUGCCCAGAUGGGAUUAGCUAGUAGGUGGGGGAAUGGCUCACCUAGGCGACGAUCCCUAGCUGGUCUGAGAGGAUGACCAGCCACACUGGAACUGAGACACGGUACAGACGCCUAAGGGAGGCAGCAGGGGGGAAUAUUGCACAAUGGGCGCAAGCCUGAUGCAGCCGUGCCGCGUGUAUGAAGAAGGCCUUCGGGUUGUAAAGUACUUUCAGCGGGGAGGCGUUACUCGCAGAAGAAGCAUCGGCUAACUCCGUGCCAGCAGCCGCGGUAAUUC